UGAAGAUCCUUUAGGUGGCAGCUCUAGCUGAAUUCCUAUUUCAUAUAUAUAUAUUUUGAGACAGGGUCUCACUCUGUCACCCAGGCUGGAGUGCAGGGUUGUGAUCAUAGCUCACUGCAGCCUCAACCUCCUGGCCUCAAGCGAUCCUCCAGCCUUAGCCUCCGAAAGCAAUGGAAUUACAGGUGUGAGCCACCAUGCCCAGCUCUGGAACUCUUAAAAACUGAUGAGAAAAGGCAAGUUAAAAGGUCAGAGGUAUACAUUGAGAUGGCCUGAAGCAACUGAAGAACCACAAAAGAAGUGAAAAUAGCCAAUUCCUGCCUUUACUGAUGACAUUCCACCAUCAUGAUUUGUUCCUGCCCCACCCUAAUUAACCAGUUGACCUUGUGACAUUCCUUCUCCUGGACAGUGAAUCUCAGGAGCUCCCCACUGAGCACCUUAUGACCUGCCCCUGCCUGCAAGAGAAAAAACCCCUUUAACUGUCAUUUUCCACUACCUACCCAAAUCCUAUAAAACUGCCCCACCCCUCUCUCCCUUUGCUGACUCCCUUUUCGGACUUGGUCUGCCUCCACCCAGGUGAUUAAAAAGCUUUAUUGUUC
rnacentral:lncRNA from 1 species